rnacentral:rRNA from 1 species
GACGAACGCUGGCGGCGUGCUUAACACAUGCAAGUCGAACGGAAAGGCCCUGCUUUUGUGGGGUGCUCGAGUGGCGAACGGGUGAGUAACACGUGAGUAACCUGCCCUUGACUUUGGGAUAACUCUAGGAAACUGGGGCUAUAACAGGAUAGAAGCUCUUGCGCCAUGGGGGGGAUUGGAAAGUUUCGGCGGUUGGGGCUGGACUCGGGGCUUAUCCGCCGGUUGGGGGGGUAGUGGCUUACCAAGGCUUUGACGGGUAGCCGGCCUGAGAGGGUGCCCGGCCACCUUGGGACUACGAGACGGCCCAGACUCCUACGGGAGGCAGCAGUGGAGAAUAUUGCACAAUGGGCGGAAGCCUGAUGCAGCAACGCCGCGUGCGUGAUGACGGCCUUCGGGUUGUAAACCGCUUUCGCCUGUGACGAAGCGUGAGUGACGGUAAUGGGUAAAGAAGCACCGGCUAACUACGUG